GAUGAACGCUGGCGGCGUGCCUAAUACAUGCAAGUCGAGCGAAUGGAUUAAGAGCUUGCUCUUAUGAAGUUAGCGGCGGACGGGUGAGUAAUACGUGGGUAACCUGCCCAUAAGACUGGGAUAACUCCGGGAAACCGGGGCUAAUACCGGAUAACAUUUUGAACCGCAUGGUUCGAAAUUGAAAGGCGGCUUCUGCUGUCACUUAUGGAUGGACCCGCGUCGCAUUAGCUAGUUGGUGAGGUAACGGCUCACCAAGGCAACGAUGCGUAGCCGACCUGAGAGGGUGAUCGGCCACACUGGGACUGAGACACGGCCCAGACUCCUACGGGAGGCAGCAGUAGGGAAUCUUCCGCAAUGGACGAAAGUCUGACGGAGCAACGCCGCGUGAGUGAUGAAGGCUUUCGGGUCGUAAAACUCUGUUGUUAGGGAAGAACAAGUGCUAGUUGAAUAAGCUGGCACCUUGACGGUACCUAACCAGAAAGCCACGGCUAACUACGUGCCAGCCGCCGCCGUAA
rnacentral:rRNA from 1 species